GAUGAAGAACGUAGCGAAAUGCGAUAAGUAGUGUGAAUUGCAGAAUUCAGUGAAUCAUCGAAUCUUUGAACGCACAUUGCGCCCGCCAGUAUUCUGGCGGGCAUGCCUGUUCGAGCGUCAUUACAACCCUCAGGCCCCCGGGCCUGGCGUUGGGGAUCGGCGGAAGCCCCCUGCGGGCACAACGCCGUCCCCCAAAUACAGUGGCGGUCCCGCCGCAGCUUCCAUUGCGUAGUAGCUAACACCUCGCAACUGGAGAGCGGCGCGGCCACGCCGUAAAACACCCAACUUCUGAAUGUUGACCUCGAAUCAGGUAGGAAUACCCGCUGAACUUAAGCAUAUCAAUAAGCGGAGGA
rnacentral:misc_RNA from 1 species